rnacentral:rRNA from 1 species
AACGAACGCUGGCGGCAUGCCUAACACAUGCAAGUCGAACGAGACCUUCGGGUCUAGUGGCGCACGGGUGCGUAACGCGUGGGAACCUGCCCUUAGGUUCGGAAUAACUCCCCGAAAGGGGUGCUAAUACCGGAUAAUGUCUUCGGACCAAAGAUUUAUCGCCUUUGGAUGGGCCCGCGUUGGAUUAGCUAGUUGGUAGGGUAAAAGCCUACCAAGGCGACGAUCCAUAGCUGGUCUGAGAGGAUGAUCAGCCACACUGGGACUGAGACACGGCCCAGAAUCCUACGGGAGGCAGCAGUGGGGAAUAUUGGACAACGGGCGAAAGCCUGAUCCAGCAAUGCCGGGUGAGUGAUGAAGGCCUUAGGGUUGUAAAGCUCUCUUACCCGGCAUGAUAAUGACAGUACCGGGAGAAUAAGCUCCGGCUAACUCCGUG